ensembl:lncRNA
CCGGAAAUAAAGAGAAGCAGUGUGAAAGGCUGCCACACACUUCAGCAGCAAGAAGUUCAAAACACUGUGCUUUGGCAGCUGCACAAACCCACAACGAGGAACACGCAGUUGCACAGCAGUGCUUCAGCACAGAACUGUGAUGCUACUGUCGAGGCCUAAGAAGCAGAAGCAGAUGUAAUCCCAGCACUGUUCCUGCCCAGCACCUGCAACGAUCAGUUUGAGGCUUCACCAACAAGAAAUACAAUGAGGAUCAUCUACAAAAGUUGAAACCUAACAAGUGGUAUUAAAACCAAUUGGCCUGCACUGCCAUGACACUAACUGACCUGAUCAGCUCCAGCUCCCACCACGAGGCCUCAGGGCGUUCUGGAGCCACCAGCACGCAUCCAGCAGCCAACCAUGCUUCAUCCACCAAUGGAGAGCAACAAUGAAGAAACAAAGAAGCCCAAAGCUCUUGCAGGGCUGUCAAGCUGAGCACCAGCACUCACUCCUGCUUAAGACAUUGCGAGAAAUGCAGAGUGCCAGACAGAGCAAGGACUAAGAAAAAGCCAGCACAGCUUUAAAGCCAACACAGAGUACUAGCAUUUUAAAAACCUGACAGUGCUUUUAUGGCCUAUAAGUCCAUUUUGUUUUAUUUUCCUUCAUCCUAUUUGUGACAGACUCAUGUACUCCUACUAAAAAUUCUUUUCAACUCCAACGUUUUCCCUCUGCAGUAAAAUCUUG